UCAUCACCUUGGAUCCCCUUAGCUUCAGAUCCAUACGCCUGACUCUCAUACCAUUACACUGUACAUGUUUGUGCUACCGUUGCUAGGAUACCAGGGUUCAUUUUGACUACGUAGUUAUUUAGGAUCUGACUCUAGUGAUGAUCACAGAUAGAUACUCAUUGUACUGUAUUUAUAUUUCAACCAGGAAGUCCUAUAGAGAUAAUAAUAUAUAUAUAUAUUUUCAAUGGCCUUUGAUGAGCUCAUCAAAUGUCAGUCUGUCUUUGAGAGGGAGGAGGACCUUAUGACCAAUGGAAGGAAGUGAGAUCACCAGGGUAGGAAGGAAGUGAGAUCACCAGGGUAUGAAGGAGGUGUACGUCUGAGACUGUACACAGAGCUAAAUCAAAUCAAAUCAAAUGUUAUUUGUCACAUGCGCCGAAUACAACAGGUGUAGUAGACCUUACAGUGAAAUGCUGCCUAAGAAGCCCUUAACCAACAAUGCAGUUUUAAGAAAGUACCUAAAAAAAUAGAUAAGAAUAACAAAUGAUUAAAGAGCAGCAGUAAGUAACAAUAGCGGGGCCUUAUACAGGGGGUACCGGUACAGAGUCAAUGUGGAGGUUAUAUACAGGGGGUACCGGUACAGAGUCAAUGUGGAGGUUAUAUACAGGGGGUACCGGUACAGAGUCAAUGUGGAGGCUAUAUACAGGGGGUACCGGUACAGAGUCAAUGUGGAGGCUAUAUACAGGGGGUACCGGUACAGAGUCAAUGUGGAGGUUAUAUACAGGGGUACCGGUACAGAGUCAAUGUGGAGGCUAUAUACAGGGGGUACCGGUACAGAGUCAAUGUGGAGGUUAUAUACAGGGGGUACCGGUACAGAGUCAAUGUGGAGGUUAUAUACAGGGGGUACCGGUACAGAGUCAAUGUGGAGGCUAUAUACAGGGGGUACCGGUACAGAGUCAAUGUGGAGGCUAUAUACAGGGGGUACCGGUACAGAGUCAAUGUGGAGGUUAUAUACAGGGGGUACCGGUACAGAGUCAAUGUGGAGGUUAUAUACAGGGGUACCGGUACAGAGUCAAUGUGGAGGCUAUAGACAGGGGGUACCGGUACAGAGUCAAUGUGGAGGCUAUAUACAGGGGGUACCGGUACAGAGUCAAUGUGGAGGCUAUAGACAGGGGUACCGGUACAGAGUCAAUGUGGAGGUUAUAUA